rnacentral:tRNA from 1 species
UCCCUGGUGGUCUAUUGGUUAAGACUUUCUGCUUCCAGUGCAGAGGGUGAGGGUUUGAUCCCUGGUCAGGGAA